GCUGGAGUGUGGACAUGAUCAUAAGGUCUCAGCAAAAAUGAGCUGAAUGAUAGAUGGAGGGCUGGCCCCUCACUAGAAGGUGCAGGGAAAUGAGGCGGGGGCAGGUCUGUGAGCAGCUUGGGAGGUUCACACUGGGUGCAUCUGCAAAAGCCCAACCCCAGUGAUCUCCCAUCUCAGGGGGAGAAGGGGCAAUACUCCCUCACAUGAGGCCCAUAGCUCUGCCCUCACUCACAGUCCCCUCCUCAGGGUGGUGGGUGACAUCACCCCAGGGCCAGCCUCAGGAACUGGGCAGUGUUGGGAGACCUGACCAAACUUCAUUUCUCCAGCAGAGACAUCAGAGAAGGCCAUGGCACGCCCUCCAGCCAGGAGUCCCACAGGCAGCCCUGGUGAAUCCAGCUCUCAGGAAGACAAACUGAGACUCAGAGAGACUGAGUCUGAGGCUGGACUCACAGGGAUGCUAAGAAGGAGAUGGAGGCAGCUGUGUCCUGCAGAGGGACCCUUUCCCCCAGCUCCUCCCUUUCCCCCAGACUGGGGUGAUCCUCCUGCAGGUGCCUCAGCCCCUCCUGAGCUUGCCAGUAAGUGUAUGUGAGCCUGGUGCUGUCCUCCCCAUAUCUGAACCCAGUACCACUUCUAUGUGCUAGACGUAGAGCUAAUAUCAG
rnacentral:lncRNA from 1 species